GACGAACGCUGGCGGCGUGCUUAACACAUGCAAGUCGAACGAAGAGCGAUGGAAGCUUGCUUCUAUCAAUCUUAGUGGCGAACGGGUGAGUAACGCGUAAUCAACCUGCCCUUCAGAGGGGGACAACAGUUGGAAACGACUGCUAAUACCGCAUACGAUCUAAUCUCGGCAUCGAGGAUAGAUGAAAGGUGGCCUCUACAUGCAAGCUAUCACUGAAGGAGGGGAUUGCGUCUGAUUAGCUAGUUGGAGGGGUAACGGCCCACCAAGGCGAUGAUCAGUAGCCGGUCUGAGAGGAUGAACGGCCACAUUGGGACUGAGACACGGCCCAGACUCCUACGGGAGGCAGCAGUGGGGAAUCUUCCGCAAUGGACGAAAGUCUGACGGAGCAACGCCGCGUGAGUGAUGACGGCCUUCGGGUUGUAAAGCUCUGUUAAUCGGGACGAAAGGCCUUCUUGCGAAUAGUGAGAAGGAUAGACGGUACCGGAAUAGAAGCC
rnacentral:rRNA from 1 species